rnacentral:rRNA from 1 species
GGCGGACGGGUGAGUAUGUCUGGGAACUGCCUGAGGGAGGGGGAUAACUACGGGAAACGGUAGCUAAUACCGCAUAACGUCGCAAGAACCAAAGGAGGGGGACCUUAGGGCCUCUUGCCAUCGGAUGUGCCCAGAUGGGAUUAGCUAGUAGGUGGGGUAAAGGCUCACCUAGGCGACGAUCCCUAGCUGGUCUGAGAGGAUGACCAGCCACACUGGAACUGAGACACGGUCCAG